UCAUGCAGGACCCUGAGUAUGAGAUAGCAGUGGUUUACUGUCAAUGUUUAGUGAUCAUUAAACAGUUUGAUUAAUGGUUUCAGGGUGAAGGCCCAUCUUCAAGGGAGGAGAAUGAGGAGACUAUGUUCAAGGAGGACCGAGUUAUUGGCUGCAGGACACAGAGAACCUUCUAGGACCUUCUCAGACUGGGACCACAGGUGACAAAAAUGCAGAAAAUGUAAAGUGUGCAAGCGUUACCUCCUCAAACAAAUGGAUGCACUGGAUGUAGACAUCCAAUACAAAAAACUGAAGAUGAGAAAGCUGGAACUGGAAAUCCAACAACUGGAGAAAGAUGGAUGUAGAACUGCUAUAACCAAGAC